ensembl:lncRNA
GCCCGAUGCUGUAUGCCGGGCAAUCAAUAAUCUGUCUUCUACGCGACAGUGUCUGCUGGUCAAGGUGCCUUGCACUUAGGUGUUUUCUUUGCUCUGCAGCAUAGCUAGACAGUUAAGAUCUCACCGUGGUCUCCGUACUCAAGGUGCGGUGCUGGGGAAUACACAUACUUUACUACUGAGCCCUAAGAACAAAUCCUAAGAACUAAAUAGAGACACAUUUCAUCUUUUAUAUUUUAUUUUAGACAAGUAAAACACAUACAAUUUUUUAAAACAGAAGCAAACAUGCAUAUCUAAUUGAAUUCUAGAGAAAACAUCUCUACCCAGAAUGCCUGCUUUCUGAAUAUUUUUAUUCUUUGACUUAUUGAGUGCCACCUUUCCUUUCCAACAAACAGAAUACUCCUUUUAUGUAAGCAACCAGAUUUACAAAGUACAUGUUAUUCUUCUCCACUGCCACACAACAUUCUCACCGAACAUUAAGGUCAAAAAUCGACAGGCCAUGCAAUUCAGCACCCUAACAGCUGCAGGGCAUCAACACGGUAGUGAGUGCACACAAAUACAUACACUGGUACUUUUUUUUAGAGCAAAAACAGGAUUAUCUUGUGAAUGUUACUUCAAUGGCCUGCGACAGCCAUCUUUCCACGUCAUUAUUUUUAAAUGUCUGUCCUUGUACUGCUGCUAGCCCAGUGCCCCCGAGCCACAUUUCCCUCUCUCCUGUUUCAUUUCGUUUUGUAUUUUUACUGUUAACAUGGCUUACAUAAAUAGCACAUCUUAAGUCUGUACUAGAUGGACUCUUACAUUAUGUGCAGACACCAAGUGGCUUCGUCCCCAUCAAUAAGGCUUUAAACAAGGGUUAAAAAUCUACUAAUCCCGAUCACAGACUGCAUUUACAUUUUACAGCUCAUAUAUACAUUUCCACUAAACGUUCUAAUGUACAAAGAACUUCUGGUUCAAUUGGUGUGAGGAUCUGCCAGUGUUACUCCACUGUGUGAAUUGUGGUUGUUGACUGUACUGCUCAGUCGUUAUGGGCAACCGAGAACCAGCCUGAAGGGACCAGGGUUUGGUGUCCUGCAGAUUUGCAGAAAGCAAGUGUAAACAAAUCAAACACAAGGCUGAAAUAAAGACGCUCCAGCUGUUCCCCAAUAUAUAUCAACUCAGUGGAUUGGGGUACAUCAUGUUUGGGGUUAUUUUUGGUUGAAGACAAUAAUCUACUGUUUAAAUCGUCAGCAUUGCCUCAUAAGUUACCACAAACCCAGGCGGCUGCGACAUUAGUGCACCUAAAAAGGCAAAAGCAACAACAACAAAACCCCAAACCACUUUGCUCUUGCUUUUGUCCCCUAAUCUACACCUACUUCUAAACCAGCCAGUCAGACAAUGAAGCAACAUCCUAAACAUACAAGGGCACAUAUGUGAAAACCUCUAACACCUAAAACCUACAAUGUGCCUAAACUCGGUCUUUGUUUUUUCCUGUAAACUAAAAUCAUGGUAGAGCUACCGAACUUGGACCUUACAGUAUAUUUAUUCACUAUGGACCUGCAAAAAAGGUCACGUAAAAAAAUAAAUAAAUAAAAAAGCAUCCCUUAGAAACCAAAAGCCAGUAAAGUCUACUUUGGGUGGGUCCGCUAUACUGAAGAACUGUCAAAACACAUGCUGAUGUGCUACAGCAUGUCUCUCCGUACCUUUCCUCCUCAUUUUUAGGUGGUGAUACCCAGCAACGCAUUACUCCCCCCACCCCCGUCCCUCCUUUAUUCUGUUAGUUACUAGUGUAUAUCUGGUAUGUUCGGACUCUGCAUGCAUUAUAUCAUUUAAUCCAUCAAUCUAAUUUAAGUGAGAAAAGACUGGGCUAAAGAGAUUAAAUUAUCUUUCAAUCAUUCACGAAGGCAAUCAAGUAACAGGCCAGACCCACAACUGGGCCACAGCUUCUACCUCCCCAAACUAAGCAUCAUGAAACUAACCAGGCUUCAUGUAAUUCUGUAACCCAAGUCCUCAAAAGGAUUGGGCCAAAUGCAAGACCGCUUCAAAAAACAAAAAGUCAUUUCCACUGGGCGCAGACUAACCACCAUCAGCAUUUCCGGAAGAUGGCGACUGCACCUAGCUCGAAAUGUAAGCGGAAAGCUCAGAAGACCGAGGAAAGCCGGAAGCUGCACUGCAGUCCUUUACAGCGAGGAUUAAACAGAGAAGGAAUAAGCUCCGGGGGCUGCAGCCUGCUCCGCUCCGCGAAGAAACCAGGGAAACGCCGCUCGGCUCACCGCGCCAUGCACCGCAACAGCCCGCAGGCGCGGCUCCCGCAGCCGCUCUCCGGGCCGGA